AGCCAGUGUGGCCUAGUGGUUUGAGCAUUGGACUAUGACUCUGGAGACCAGGAUUGGAACCCCUGCUUGGUUG